GCAACUAAGGCCCAGCCUUGCGAUGACCCUCUCCGGAGAAGGAGUUGGUUGAAACCCGUCGGCGCCACGUCGGGGGCCCAAACGCAGCGAAGAUGCGUGAACUCCCCCGCGGGCGGCCGCCUGUUUUUAAUACACAAAA
rnacentral:misc_RNA from 1 species